rnacentral:rRNA from 1 species
UACGGGGGGGGCAAGCGUUGUUCGGAAUUACUGGGCGUAAAGGGCUCGUAGGCGGCCAACUAAGUCGGAUGUGAAAUCCCCAAGCUUAACUUGGGAACUGCAUCCGAUACUGGAUGGCUUGAAUCCGGGAGAGGGAUGCAGAAUUCCAGGUGUAGCGGUGAAAUGCGUAGAUAUCUGGAGGAAUACCGGUGGCGAAGGCGGCAUCCUGGACCGGCAUUGACGCUGAUGAGCGAAAGCCAGGGGAGCAAACGGG